AAUUUGCCAUUAAAGCUCAAGCUUUGAGUUCUAAACUCAAACUUGAGCAAAUCCCACAAACAUGCAAUCAAACUAGCUAGAAUCUACUUAAACAAGCAUAAUUAAGCCUCUGCAAAUAAUAGAAAACCACUACCACAAACACAACAACCAAUUUCUUCAUUUUCUUCAAAAUCACAUUUUUAAGCUUAAAAUUCCAAACUUUGAACAACACAACUAGUGUAAUACCCGGAAUUAAGAAAUGGAUUAGCAAAACCCUAACUAGAUAAUUAUGUAUAAUGGAGGAAUUAUAUUAUUAUAUAGUUCAAUAUAUGUGAUUUAUAUGAAUUUUAAUAUAUUAUAGACCCCGUUGGUGAGCCAGGGGCAUUUUGGUAAUUAUGACCCGAGAAGGGUAAAAUGAUGAAAUUAAUUUAAUUACGUGCUUAAUAGAACUAUAUUAUUAUAUAGUAUGCCUGUAUUGUCUUUUCAGGUGUGUUCUGACAGGUUAGCGCGGUAUAGUCACAACCGGGAAUUUUGGGCUGAACCGGGUUCGGGCCCGAAAUGUAAAUUGAAUUGAUUAUUUGGCAUUUUAUUUGAUAAAUGAUAAUCUGAAAUUUAUUUGAAAUUAAUUGAGUAUUGAAUGACUAUUUUACCCUUGUGAGGGUGUAUGUGGGUAUUUAAGCCCUAAGGGCAUUUUGGUCAUUUGACCCCUAAUUACUAUGUUUGGAAAAUGUGAUUUUUGAGGGAAAUAGAUUGAUAAUUUUCUGGUGGCUUCACCCUCUCAACCAAACCCUCUCUCCCUCUCUAACCCUUUCUUGAACUUCAAGUGAAAUUGUUGAGAUAUUGAGUGAAUUACUUGGCUUUGAAGCUUGAAAUUGGAAGGAUUUUAAGCUUGGAAUUGAGGAUUACCGGCACCUGGUCAGGAGCACCCGGGGAUUCGGAAUCUCUGCCUUUACGGGACAGCAGGAAAGGGUAAGUCAGUGGCUGAUCAACCAUGAGUUUGAGGAGCAAGAUGAAGAAUGUACAUGUUCAAGCCAUAUCAGACCAAGCGGGUUAAGGGUCUAUCAGUGAUGAACUUUUGAAUUCUAUUUUGCCGUUUAGGUCGGCUAGAAAUAAAUGACUUGUAAUAGCGUUUGUAAAUAUUUUUGGGAUCCCAACUAUUUUAAAAGUUUUAAAUAUAUUACAAGUUUAUUUUC